rnacentral:lncRNA from 1 species
AAAGCUAAGGUACAAGCCAGCAUUAACAAAGAUUUUGGAACCUGGGUGACUUCUGAUCACAAAAGAGCUGAUAGAAGGUCUUUAGUUGUAUCUGCGACAUGGCAGGUCUUAUAUACAGACAGUCAGCUGAAGGAUAAGAGUACGUGGCUGAAUCCCAUAGUUGUAACUACUGGAUUACCGGGCUGACCUCCCAGUUGAGGAGAGGAAAGGGUAGUGGAUACGUCUGCAUGUCAAGUCAAGGGUGCAGAGCUUCCUGUAGAGCCCAGAAGAGCUUUGAAUAGAGAAACAAAGGAAAAUGGUGGGUGCAGAGAAUGUGUACGCUGCAGAAGACAGGAUGUAAAUUACAGCCAAGACAGCAUCCUGGUCAUAAUUUGAAGGCAAAUGUUAGACCUUUGCUCAAGGCAGAAUGA